AUUGAACGCUAGCGGGAUGCCUUACACCUGCCAGUAGAACGAGUGGCGAACGGGUGCGUAAUGUAUCGGAACGUACCCAGUAGCGGGGGAUAACUACGCGAAACGUAGCUAAUACCGCAUACUAUUGGAGGGGGCGUUAUCGGAUUGGUCUGUUGGUGGGGUAACGGCUCACCAAGGCGCCGAACCGUAGCUGGUUUGAGAUGACGACCAGCCCCAUUGUGCCUGGGCCCCGGCCCAGACUCCUACGUGAGACAGCAGUGGGGAAUUUUGGACAAUGGGGGAAACCCUGAUCCAGCCAUCCCGCACGUGCGAUGAAGCCCUUCGGGUUUUAAAGCACUUUUGGCAGGAAAGCGGUACCUGCAGAAUAAGCACCGGCGAACGACGUGCCAGCAGCGGCGGUAAUAC
rnacentral:rRNA from 1 species